AAACCAUGAGGAGGACACUCUAAGAGAAGAUCCUUAAAACGUUCUAUACAUGUAGAAAAUGAUUCAUUAGGUUUUUGGCAAAAUUGGAGAAUGUCGUUCCUAAGUUU
rnacentral:snoRNA from 1 species